GACGAACGCUGGCGGCGUGCCUAACACAUGCAAGUCGAACGGAAAGGCCCUGCUUUCGUGGGGUGCUCGAGUGGCGAACGGGUGAGUAACACGUGAGUAACCUGCCCUUGACUUUGGGAUAACUUCAGGAAACUGGGGCUAAUACAGAAGAGGAGCGCCUGCUGCAUGGUGGGGGUCGGACAGCUUGGGCGGUUGGGGAUGGACUCGCGGCUUAUCAGCUUGUUGGUGGGGUAGUGGCUUACCAAGGCAUUGACGGGUAGGCGGCCUGGGAGGGUGACCGGGCACCUUGGGACUGAGGUACGGAGCAGAGUCGUACGGGAGGCAGCAGUGGGGAGUAUUGCACAGUGGGGGGGAGCCUGAGGCAACAACGCCGCGUGCGGGAAGACGGCCUUCGGGUUGUAAACCGCUUUCGCCUGUGACGAAGCGUGAGUGACGGUAAUGGGUAAAGAAGCACCGGCUAACUACGUG
rnacentral:rRNA from 1 species